rnacentral:piRNA from 1 species
AAAUGGAACUCUGCAUGCGGGUAGCG